AUGGGCCCAUGGCCAACACAAGACAACUUAUUUACCAAAGCUAGUGAAGUUAAAAUCUUUAUCAACCGAAGCUGCUCUGCUACAAAUGGAAGCCACAUCGAUCAAGUUGCAAACAACCAACCUGUGGGGCACUUGCUAGUUGGCGAGUCGAGGACAGGCUACCAGGGGGACGGCGGUGGCGGGAUCCUGUCGUCUAGCAGGAGGCAGAGGAGCACCGGCGGCGGCGGCCGACGUCCGUCCGUGUGGCAGCAGAGGAAGGCCUGCGGGCAGCGGCGGGCGGAGGCCCGCUCCCGCGUUCUUGGGGCAGCAGGAGGAGGACGGCGGGUGGCUGCGGCGCUCGCGCUUGAUCGCAGACAAAGAGCAAUACAAGGAAGAUUGUUUCUUUGUAUACAAGAGCAAGGCAUGCGCCUACGGUAUGUGUACUCUUGA
rnacentral:rRNA from 1 species